GCCCCCAUCGCUGCGGCCCUGCCAGGGCCCUCUCGGGCAUCACCCGCUCUCGGCACGGUCGGGCCCUCUCCCGACAUCCCAAAUAAAAGAGCUUCACGGGCCCUCUGAGCCGCAAUCCCCGAUACCGAGUGAGCUGUCACUGUUUUCUUCCACUGAAAUCUGGCAGCGAACCAACGGGGGGAAGAAACAAACCUGCUAUAAUUAAUGUUCUUGCUGUUCAAAUAUUUAUAUAAAGCAAGAUAGAGCCGUAUGCCUCUGCAAUCUCUUGGAUCUGUCCAACCUUCUCAGCUUUGCAGACGGGAACAACUACAACUGAUUACACAGGGCUGCUGAUGGCUCAGCCCAGCUCCCCUGCUCGGUACCUGGCUCUGUGCAGACCACUGCUGCCUUGGAGAGAGGUUACACUGACCCCAUGGUGCAAACAGAAGGGGAAAAGGACUAUCCUUCUCAUGGAAGAAGGAUUUGGGGGAUAUUUUUUUCCUGGGCAUGGGUUUGGGUACAAAUGGAAUUAGGAGCUUUGGUGUCUUACAUCAUAAAUGGCACCAGUUCAGGCAAGUCCUGGGGAAUUGGAGCCUGGACCAGUCAACCCUUGUGCUCAUCCCCAAGGCUGAAAUCAUCAAAACUGAGAUGCUGCAAGAAGUUACAGGAGAUUUUGAAGUCUAGGUCGGAACAGCUCUAAGCCCUUCAGGUGAGCUGCCAAAACAACAUGAUGCAACACCAUUCCCUGCUCCCACCUGCCACCCUCCGCUCCCCGGAGCAGCUCAUUUACUGAUGAGCUCCUGGGAAGAGGUUUAACAACAGGAUGUGCAACACAUCCGUAAAAAUUGCAUCAACUGCGAUGCCAAGGAGUUUUUCUCUGUGUUGUGAACUUUGCCUGGACUGUCUGUGAUGGAUCUGCCGUGUGAAUCCACAUCUGCUGGAGAACGUGAGAACUCACCAUCGUCCAGCUCCAUUAUGAAAAUGUUUUAUUAUUUGUACUGCUGGCUGCUAAAAUGAUCAAUGUCUUAUGAAAGGCAUUUCCUUCUUGCAUUGAUAUCCAUGACCAUGUGGCUUCUGCUCGUCCUGUACAGCAGGAGCUGUGGGAGCACUGCUGGCCGCUGUCCCAGCACCUGCGGGGCCGCUAGUGGAGAUCCAGCCUCUGGCCAGAUGUUACCCCAAGCUCCACUCACAAAAUUCCACCACCAAGGCUCCUCAGUCCAAGUUCUGACUGUAUUGAUCAACAUCUCAAGUUGAAGUUAGCCAAGGAACCAAUACCAGUGUUUGUUUCUCCCCAUCAGCACUUUUGUGUUGCUCCUCAGGUAUCAGCAGCUGCUGUUUAUUAAGUGAAAAGCCUUCAGCAGCCCGAGCACCCAUCGCUCAGGAAAGCUCCUGUUAACCAGGGAUCACUCUGGCACAGCACAACCCCCCACCCCAAAGCAGACCCCACUUACAGAGCACUAAGUGCUUCCACAACCAAUUGUAUAGAUCUGCUGUCACGGUCAGUUCAAUAACUCCAUCGCUGGACAGACAUUACAGACGGGUCAGAUGCUGUUUGGUUGCCAGGAUGUAACAAAAACCUUUUAGUUUCACUUUACUGAUGGGGAAAAUGGAAGCUGAGGAAGCCAGAGUUGGGCACAGAGAGCAGCUGCCCUGAACUCGUGCCCCUCAAACCACAAGGCAAAUGUUUCCUGAUGGCCAGCAAACAACAGUGACCAGGGAGGGAAGGGACAGAAUGGAAUGAUUUUCUUUCCAGAAUCCCUCCUUUCCUACAGAAAUGCAGUCCCUGACAAAGCUGCCAUCAAUGCAGGUAAUCCCCACACCAGCUACCUUCUGCAGGAAUCAUGUCCUGUGAGCAGAAAGGGGCCCCAAAGUUAAGGACACAAACCCUGGGAGAACAAGGCCACCUUUCCCUGAGGGAUGAGGACACCCUGCAGCACUGGUGCCAGGCUGGUCUAGAAAGAGAAGCAGGAGUGUGCCCACUGGUGCUGGGACACUCCCAUUGCUCCCACCCCGAGGAAUUGUGUAAAUGGGAGGAGAGAACGAUCGCCACAUGGGAUCCCUGGCAGCCUGUCAAACCGAGAAGCAAAGAGGAAAAAAACAAUGGAGACGUUUUUAUUUCCUUAUGUCCUACCAGGCCAGUUGUUGAACUUACAAUGACCAACUCAUUGUGCAACUCCAAGGCUCCCCAGCCCACCUCCCUCCUUCCUCUCCGCCCCUGGUCCACACACAGUGUUUCGUGGUCCCUUCUGCCCAGGUGGCCAGGCCACCUCCUCAGAGGAUGCUCUGAGAGGCAGAUGGGACUCGUGACUCCUGCUCACACAGGAACUUUGGCAAGCAGCUCGCUGAGCCCUUGAUCUCAUCUGACCCAAGUCUACCUGUCUGUCCCAGUUCCUCCACAGAGUCCCAUUUCUCCACUUCUAAUCAUAUGAGGAGCUGGCUGGAAUGAAAUGCAACAUAUUCCUUUGGCUUCUGCAGCAGCCACGGGGAAGAGCAGAGUUGUCUUUGCAAGUGCUCCCAGUGCAGAGGCAAACAACCAGAAACAGUCCUUCCUCCUGGCAGGGAGGAGGUGGGGACCGGGAGGUGGGGAGGGAAGAGAGCUGGAACAAUCUGCCAGCAGCACAAGCUUUGUUCCCACUCCAACUCUGGCUCAGAGGGGAAGCAGCCAGCAGAAAAAAAACCUAAACCAAAACAAACCCUUAAGAAGCAAGGAAGCUGUUCCCAUGCUUGCAGUGACUUCUAAAAGAGCAUCUCCCACCCCCAAAAUGCCGGGAUGAACGCAGGAAAUAAGAGAUGCUUUUUGACAAGACUUUUGCAAAGUAUUCUGUGCAGAAUCUCCAGCUCAACAGAUUGUAAGAUCCUGCAGAUCCCAUGCAAGGGGGCUCUAUGGGGAAGAACAAAUUGGCAUAAAAAAUGCACACGCUGGACAAAAAACCUUUCAAGUUUGAAGUCCCAAACAACAAAAAGUCUGUUUUAUUAAUCUGCUGUCAAUUAUGGGUGUCACAUGCACUGUGUGAGACUUCAGGCUGGCACCACAGGAGUUAAAAAAAAAAGAAGAAAAAAAUCAAAGCCAAGCAGGCCCCUGAGCUUGGUGUGCAGAGCCAGCUCUGCCUGGCUGGAGCUGUCGGGGCUCCAGCAGCAGCGAGGAAAGCCAGCAGAGGGCAGGGAAAUGCUGCAGGAAUGCACAGACAAGGCAGGGAAGAUGCAAUAAACUGUAUUUCCUUCCUUUCACGACACUAUUUGCAGCUCAGAGUGUAAGUGUUGCAGAACACUUAAACCACAACACUCCUCACCCACUGGCCGGGCCCCAGACACUGCCUGGGACCCUCCUGUGCCAGCUCUGCUCCUGGUGCCAAAGCUCUCGAGACCACAGCAUGCCUGGGACAGCUGUGGCUCAGGCCAGGACUGGGAUUUCCCCAGGAUGAGCUCAGUCUCCUGGUUUUCAGCAGCCAGGACAUUAUUCUGAGCGUGUCCCUCGCUCCUCCCACUUCCAACCACUACAGUGGGAGAAGAACCCUGCAACUGGGCCACAGCUGAGGCCACAGCUUCCACAAACACACACUGAAAGACAGGAACAUUUUUCCUAUAAGAAUCUUACUGUUGGAACUCAAAAAUGUUCCCAGAAGCAUUUUCAUUAUAUUUUAUUUACAAAAAAAAAAAAAAAGCUUAAAAAUCCCCCCAACUUCACUUUUUUCAGAGUGACUGAGACAGGUCAAACAUACAUGUUGUCAGUGCUGCUUCAAGGAAAAGAAUCAUCUCAUACACCUUAAACAGACAGAGGCUUUGGUUGCAGUGGAUUUGGGGGGUUUCUGUUUUUUAAGUCAAGGCCAAGAAAUUUCUAAGCUAACACAACCUUCUCUGAAAGCACAGACAAAUCAAGUGUCAUCCUCAAGCAUCAGCCCAGUGCCAGAACACAGCCUGAAUGGGACAUAAAAGCUAGAAACUAAUAAUUAGAGUCAAUUAGGAAUGACACUUAAUCAUUCAAAGGCCUCUAUAGAUUUUUCCCAGGUGUGUUUCAUGAAAUUUAUGUAGCUUCCAAAGUCCUCUAUACUACUUGCCACAAAAGACUGGCAGGAAUCAUAUUUGGAGAGCUAAAAGAGACGCUGUCAAAAUGAUGUUGUUCACACAGUAUGGAAAUCAAAGGCCCAUCCUGGGCACCCCACAGCCCCUCUGGAGCCAGAGGAGAGGCUGCAGUGGGAUGGGAUGGGAUGGGAUGGGAUGGGAUGGGAUGGGAUGGGAUGGGAUGGGACAGCCACCACUCAACCCACUGCCCAGGUGCUGCAGAGCUCAAGCCCAGCAAAGCCCCUGGGUCACAGUUAAUCAGCAGUAUCCUGCUGGGGCACAUCUCAAAUGCAAAGCUGAUACAAAGUCUGACAUCACCAUACUGAGGGGUUUUAAAAUAUCCAGAGAGAGCUGAAUGCAUUAGAAUAUUUCCUCACAAACCUUGCUCUUACUGGCACUCUCUGGGCUUGAGAGCCCGUAAAAUAAAGAGGCCAAAUUGCUUCAACUGGCAGGUCUCAGUGCAGUCUGUGCCUUGUUCACGUGCACAAAGGAGAACUCCUUUCUCACUUCAGGCGUAGUUUCAAAAUUGAGCUGUAGCCUAAAACUCAGCCCCACAGUGCUUCAGGAACACACCUGCCCUCCCCGAGAUGGAGACGAGUGAUACACCAACAGGGCACGGAUCAGAAAGGCAGAACCACUGGGUAUGAAAGCAGUGAGUUACACAGGUGUCCUCCUGCGUUAGUCCUCUGCCAAGGUGCCCUCUUACCUCGUGCAGUUUACUGCAGGUGCCAUUGAGGAGCACUGACGAAAACACCCAGGUUAGAUACGCAAGAAUUAAUAUUUAUAUGUCUGAAGCGGGACCACAUUCUGAACAGCAGCAAAACAAGCUACCACAUGCAGGUUUCGUGUCAAGAAGGGGCCUGGAGAGGUGCCCCCAGCUCAGGAAGUCACACGGGCUCUUUGAUGUGGCUCUGCACGAGAAGCAACAAGCUCAGCUCCUCAGCAGAGCCAGUUAGGCCAACAAAGGACCUGUUUAAUUUAGCAAUGCUGCUUCCUGGGCCCAAGACACUUCAUCUCAAAGGCUGUACACAGACAGCCCUGGAUGUCUGGGGCCAGGGUUCACUGAGCAAAAGCAGAACUGGCAGGCAAACAGUUUCCUGUAAAUUCCACAGGAACCUGAAGCAAGACAUUCUGCUUGAUGCCACUGUGAAGUUUCACCAUCUCCUUCAGCAUCUCCAAGCUCAGCACCCAGCUGUGCACGCAGGAACUAGAGAAAGGACGCACUCACCUGCUUUCACUGUCCAGAAACACGGAACUGCUGCUUUUCCCAAGGGCUUCACUGAUGGGAGAGAGGCAGAAGGGGGAGGAGAAGGCAUCAGAA